rnacentral:lncRNA from 1 species
AUGAGCCUUUCUAACUUCCGGUGCCUGAACAGACUUGGAGCAGCAGUGCUCGAGGCCACACGCUCUCAAGCCGUGUCUGCGACUGGUCGGGUACCCGAUACCCCACCGUGUGCUGGCCUUCUGAAUUGCGGGCGCUUCCUGACAUGCUGCCAAGGUUCUUCCCAUCCUCAGCUCCCACAUACUUCAUAUUUCCUCGUUCCAGUGAAAAAGUACAAAAGCUUGAAUGCAUUUCCACUUGUCCAAAUGGGCCCUCAGUGUGGAAGAUGACUUUAGUCUCUCAAACAGUGGGCAGACCUUCUCAUCCACGCCAG